GAAGAAGAAGAAGAAGAAGAAGAAGAAGAAGAAGAAGAAGAAGAUGAUGAUUAAUGUUUUUCGUAUUAGUUAAAAACCCUAAAAAAACUCAAUUAUAAAUCUUAAGGCUUCUAGGAGAAAUCUUUAAAGAUAGAGAUCUCUUGGUCUGAUUCUCUGCAGAAAAAAAUUCUUGGCAUACUCUUCUACAAACAUGGAUGAUGGAAUUAUGGGUCCAUCAGCAUUACAGGAAGCAAGAGGAUGACUCCAGUUGAUUUAUGAGUAACCGAAGUGAUGCUGUGGCUGCCCUCUUGCAGUGCCUGGAGGCUGUAGGGGCCUGGAUGGGAGACUUCAAUUGAAUCCUGACCCAGAAUUUCUGCACAGUAUAUGCAGAUUUAGUGAAAACAAUAGUCUCGCCAAUAGAACUGCAGAAAA